rnacentral:pre_miRNA from 1 species
CAGGGGGGAGGGGGUGUCCCUCAGCCCGGAUUGCAAGAGGGUACAGGCCAGGCCGAGGGACCCCACUGGUGCACA